AUCUACAGCCAUGCUACCCUGAACAAACGCGAUCCCAUCUGAUCUUGGAAGCUAAGCAGGGUUGGGCCUGGUUAGUACUUGGAUGGGAGACCACCUAGGAAGACGAGGUGCUGUAGGCG
rfam:Pteropus alecto contig20351, whole genome shotgun sequence.